UUAUUUUAAUGCUAAAAUCCAUAUUCCCAUUUAUUUUCCUUUCAAAACACAAAUAACCUUUUAAUUUAAAAAAAGAAACAGAACCCUUCAUUCUCUUUGGGUUCAUUAAGCAACUGCCCAAACCACUAUCAAUUUGAUGGCUGACGGUGCACGAAUAGGGAUCGGAUCUUGCUGAAGAAAGCUCUUACCCACGAAGAUUCGGUAAGAGUACUCCUUUCCCCUUUUUUUUUUUUAAAAAAAAAAGAAACUUUAAAAUCCUGUACUAUUCUGUCAAAAACAAGGCGAGAUCCGACGAAAAACAAGAGAAAACAACCCUAGCCCGAAUCACCAUAUUCCUGAGACAUGAGGGCUUUCAUCGGUGUUGUUUCAAGCAUCCUUUUUCGUUUUCUAUGCCAAAAUAAUGCAAGCAAAUUGACAGAAAAGAGGGAAAAAUUUGAAAUCACCUUUAGAUCACUCUUUCUUUUUUCUUUUCUACUAUUUAAUAUAUGUAUUGUAGUGUGCGUUCAUAGUUUUACAAUGAAAAGGCUUUUUGGUUUUAUUAGCCGAACAAUAAUCAAAAAUGAAAAUACAAGCCCUCUUUAUUUGCUAUUCCGUUGUUUUUUGUUUCUAUUUGCUGUUGUUUUCUUGUCUGUUUGCAGGUAUGCGUGGCGCGUGGAAGUGUACGGCGUACGGAGGCGCUGGAAGCUUGUACGGCGCUGCAGGUUAGGGCUGCGGAGCUCCUUACUGCUAGGGUUUGGCUGUUUGGCUAAAUUUAGGUUUAGGUUUUGGGCCAUUGGGUCCCAUUGUAAAUGGGUAUCUGGGUUUGAUUUUUUGUUAUUAGGCCUGGGUAGAUUCGGCCCAUUACAGAUAUGAUAUAUUUUAUUAUAGUCUAUAAUAUAAUUAUAGUUAUAUAUAUAAUAUUAUUUCACUAAAUAAUACUAUAUCACAUGUUAUAAUAGUAGAGUAGUACAUAAUAUUUUUAAUUAUUAUCAUAUAUUAUUGUUUAUUAUUAUACUGGUUGAAAUAUGCUCUAAGUCCCUAUAUUUUUCAUAAAUUUCAAAGUUGGCCUUCCUACUAUAUUACAUAAUGUUAUAUCUUAUAGUAUAUAAAAUAUUAAUAAUUGAUAUAUAUGCAUCAAUGAUUAAACAUUAUAAUAUCUAGUAAUAUUAUAUCUUUUAUUAUAUAUAAUAGAAGUACGUUAUAUAUUAAUUUUUAAUUUUUAAUUAUUAUUAUAUUAUUUGAAAUAUGCUCUAGGUCGUUAUACUUUUCAUACAUUUGAAAGUUAGCUCUUCUUCUAUGUCAUAUAAUGUUAUAUCAUAUAAUAUAUAAUAUAUUAUGUAAUAUAAUAAUAGUUAUAUAGUAUAGAUUUUAAUAUCUAUUAAUUUUAUAUAUUUAUUAUACAUAUAUAAUCAUAGUAAUAAAAAUAUUUUAUAUUAAAUUAAUAUUUUUAAUUUUCACUUUAUAAUUUAACAUAAAAAAUUACUAUUAAUUGUGUUUCCUAUUAAUAAAAAUUUAUUAUAAAUAUGUCAUGCAUAUGAAUAAAUUUUCAUAAAAAAUAUUAUAUAUAUUUUUAAUAUUGAAAUCUAUAUUAAUUAUUAAUGUCUAUGGUUGUUUAAUUAUAAAUUAAAACUUUGAGUCAGGUUAUUCUCAAGCUCAGGUCAAAUUGGUCCCGAACUCAAAGUCUUAUAGACUCGAGUAUUUCUCGAGCUCUGGUUUUUCGGGCUAAGAUUUUCUCAUGCUCGAGCUUUCUCGGACUCGGACCGACACAAACAGCCUUUCAAGCUCAAGCCGGUUUUACCAGCUCUUAUUAUGGAUAUAUAUUAGUAAGUCCAAAAUGUUAGCACCCUUCCUUGCUCCUAUUAAAGUGAUGAUGUGGAAUUUUUUUACUAUUAUUCAACUACAUAAUCAAUAUCAUGUGAAAAUUCAAUCAACUAUGUUCAAUCAACAGCAAAUAUAUGUCAACUAAUGCUUACAACUAUUUUUUU
rnacentral:lncRNA from 1 species